rnacentral:rRNA from 1 species
AGUGAACGCUGGCGGUAGGCCUAACACAUGCAAGUCGAACGGCAGCACAGGAGAGAUUGCUCUCUGGGUGGCGAGUGGCGGACGGGCGAGGAAUACAUCGGAAUCUACUCUGUCGUGGGGGAUAACGUAGGGAAACUUACGCUAAUACCGCAUACGACCUACGGGGGAAAGCAGCGGAUCUUCGGACCUUGCGCGAUUGAAUGAGCCGAUGUCGGAUGAGCUAGUUGGCGGGGUAAAGGCCAACCAAGGCGACGAUCCGUAGCUGGUCUGAGAGGAUGAUCAGCCACACUGGAACUGAGACACGGUCCAGACUCCUACGGGAGGCAGCAGUGGGGAAUAUUGGACAAUGGGCGCAAGCCUGAUCCAGCCAUACCGCAUGGGUGAAGAAGGCCUUCGGGUUGUAAAGCCCUUUUGUUGGGAAAGAAAUCCAGCUGGCUAAUACCCGGUUGGGAUGACGGUACCCAAAGAAUAAGCACCGGCUAACUUCGUGCCAGCCGCCGCCGUAA